GUUUCAGUAUUUAGAUUUCAAGGCUGUAUUUCGAAAACUUCGAAAAUACUGCUGCUGAUAUCAGCCAAAUAAUAGGAUCAAUACGCGAGUCCCGAUAAAGCACACAAAGCACUCUACCAGAAAUCCCAAUACCAAUCGAACUUGAUUUUUUAGGUGUAAAAAAAGUGUUUAGGCCCGUUACAAGAACAAAACCUUUUGCACUUAAGUUAGAAUCCUUGAAUGAUCCUUCCGCAGGUUCACCUACGGAAA
rnacentral:misc_RNA from 1 species